UACAGAGGUCUCAAGCGUUGUUCGGAUUCAUUGGGCGUAAAGGGUGCGUAGGUGGCGCCGUAAGUCAGGUGUGAAAUUUCGGAGCUUAACUCCGAAACUGCAUUUGAUACUGCGGUGCUUGAGGACUGGAGAGGAGACUGGAAUUUACGGUGUAGCAGUGAAAUGCGUAGAGAUCAUGAGGAAGACCAGUGGCGAAGGCGGGUCUCUGGACAGUUCCUGACACUGAGGCACGAAGGCCAGGGGAGCAAACGGG
rnacentral:rRNA from 1 species